AGAUCCAUGGUGAGACUGAGCUCUUGUCAGUCUUCGAUGCUGGUGAAUCUUUGAGAGACCACAAUUUACCACAAAUGCUGAGCACCUUGAGGGCAGGACUGUGAAGUAACAGGCUAUUUCACAAUACUGAGCAUGGAGGCCGGUUCAGAGCAAGGAUGCAAGAAAUGUUUAUGGAACGAACAACCAGCCAAAAGAAUUUCAUCAUAAUAGUAUUACAUGUUCCUUUGGAAUAUGGAGAGGAGGAAGAAUCACCCUUCAUUCUACUGCCCAGACCAAAACUAACUGCGAGCCCUGAGGAGAGCCACCCCUGCCCCCAGGUGCUCAUGUGGACCAUCUCAGUUGAUCAAGGACAAUAAACAGGCGUUACUCACCAAUUGUACAUACUGAGUAAACAGCAACUCAAAGAUCAGACCCAUAGAUGAGUGGAUCUCAGAUAGCGGUGGUUUUGCCCCCUUCUCUCUCUAGGGGACAUUUGGCAAUUUGGGGAGACAUUUUUUAUCGUCACAAUGUGUGGGGCAGAAGGGAAGC